CUUGCUAAGGCCGAUGGCGACCGGCGCACGGGUGAGUAACACGUAUCCAACCUGCCGAUGACUCGGGGAUAGCCUUUCGAAAGAAAGAUUAAUACCCGAUGGCAUAAUAGAACCGCAUGGUUUGAUUAUUAAAGAAUUUCGGUUAUCGAUGGGGAUGCGUUCCAUUAGGCAGUUGGUGGGGUAACGGCCCACCAAACCUUCGAUGGAUAGGGGUUCUGAGAGGAAGGUCCCCCACAUUGGAACUGAGACACGGUCCAAACUCCUACGGGAGGCAGCAUG
rnacentral:rRNA from 1 species